ACUUUUCAGACCGAACGGAAAACAGCCUAAGAAUUCUGUGGUAUGCGGCCGACGGCAAAAAUGAAGAACACAAGACGUACAUGGUGAAUUCCACGCUUGUACACAGCUACAACGAGAGUUUGCCCGAAUUCUCGCCACCGCAGUCGUCCAUACUCGACGGAACCACAGAGAGGGAGUUCCGUCUUUCCGGACUGUUCCCUGGAUCAACUUAUCUGGUUUGCAUUCAAGAAAACACAGCAAGCGGUUUUGGGGAAGCGGCCUGCGCCAACUUCAGCACUAGGCCUUCCGUUCCCGUCGUAAAGCGAGCACCAAGAGUCGAAGCAGUGGACGGAAACACGGCAACGCUGAGUUUGGCUCCAGUCGAUUUCAAGAAGGGGCCGCUGAC
rnacentral:lncRNA from 1 species